rnacentral:lncRNA from 1 species
GGCAACCCGCUCCGGUGUCCUUCCAUGCUGUGGAGGCUCUGUUGUUUCGCUCUUUCUACUGCUUACUCUUCGGGUCCACACUGCUUUUAUGAGCUGUAACACUCACCCUGAAGGUUUGCAACUUGACUCCUGAAGCCAGCAAGACCACGAGCCCCAGGGAGGAACGAACAACUCCAGACGCGCUGCCUUAAGAGCUGUAACACUCACCGAGAAGGUCUGCAGCUUCACUCCUGAGCCAGCGAGGCCACGAACCCACCAGAAGGAAGAAACUCUGAACACAUCCGAACAUCAGAAGGAACAAACUCCAGACGUGCCACCUUAAGAGCUGUUAACACUCACCGCGAGGGUCCGCGGCUUCAUUUUUGAAGUCAGUGAGACCAAGAACCAACCAAUUCGGGACACAAUACCAACUCUUUCAUGCCAGGAGAAGCCUCCUUAAAAAAUUUCGGUGAUUAACAGCAGCACAUGGGUCAAAAUCUCCUGAAAGUUGAGCAGGGGAGCUGUAGAAGAAUUCCUCCUUUUCUCGCAGAUGAAAUCUUAUGAUAUAGCAGGGGUUACCUGGCCAAGAAGGAACACAGAGGAGAACAAAGAAAAUUCAAGGAACUAAAUUCCUUCUCCACCUCAACCACCAGCAUUGAUACUCCAUCACUUAUGUACUGCAUCAAGCCGUCCUCAGAGGUGAGGAAGGUGCUGUCAAGACUAGAAGCAUGUGUCCCUC